GAUGAACGCUAGCGGGAGGCCUAACACAUGCAAGCCGAGCGGUAUUGUUUCUUCGGAAAUGAGAGAGCGGCGUACGGGUGCGUAACACGUGUGCAACCUGCCUUUAUCUGGGGGAUAGCCUUUCGAAAGGAAGAUUAAUACUCCAUAAUAUAUUGAACGGCAUCGUUUAAUAUUGAAAGCUCCGGCGGAUAGAGAUGGGCACGCGCAAGAUUAGCUAGUUGGUGAGGUAACGGCUCACCAAGGCGAUGAUCUUUAGGGGGCCUGAGAGGGUGAUCCCCCACACUGGUACUGGGACACGGACCAGACUCCUACGGGAGGGAGCAGUGAGGAAUAUUGGUCAAUGGAUGCAAGCCUGAACCAGCCAUCCCGCGUGAAGGACGACUGCCCUAUGGGUUGUAAACUUCUUUUGUAUAGGGAUAAACCUACCCUCGAGAGGGUAGCUGAAGGUACUAUACGAAUAAGCACCGGCUAACUCCGUG
rnacentral:rRNA from 1 species